UGUAGUCCGCACCGGGCCGGCUCCUGCUGCGCGGCAGGCGGCAGGACCCCGGCCGGCUCAGGUAUGGGCGGGGGCGCUGGGCUCCGGCCCUACAGUGGCAAGGGAAGGGCCAGCAGCGGGGCCCGGGUUGUCAGGCGCCCGCCAGCCCCACGCGGGGAACGUCUGGAGUGUGGACCCCGCGCGGCCCCUAGGCCGAGAGAGGAGCGGAGCGUCUGGGGCUUAGGGGGUCAGUGUGCCCCACGCAGCUCCCUGCCCCCAGCAUCCGCGUUGUUCCCCUGCCUGGCCAGAGCCUUUCCCUAGCGCACCCAGAUACUUACUGCAGGGUGGGGGCCGCCUGCUUGUCUCCGCGGCGUGUAGCUACAGCUCUCCUGCUCCUCCCAGGACCAGCACAAAAUCUGGCCCAUUCCAGUCAUUAGGUCCACGUGGAGCACACUGGAGCUUCCCAUGGCAACUGAAGUCUGGCUGCACUCUGAACAGAUUGUGUUGUAGGUUCAGAGCCUGAGACAGUACCUGCCCUGAGGAUAGGAAAGAAAUUUACAAAAAGGGUUGUUCUCUCCCGUUUUCAUGAACUACUGCUCUAAUGAUACCUGGCACUGAAGAGAUAUUUGCUAUCACCACAGCUACAGCAGAGUUACAGAAGCUCAGCAGAACACUGGGAAGAACGAUUAGUUCUCUCAAAGACACGGGAAACAAUGUGUGAGUCAAAUCCAGACUGAGCAUUCAUCACUUCGGUAAUCAGGCCCCAAUCAGGGACCAUGGCCCCAUUGUGCUAGGCAUUAUAUGCACAUAUAACAAAGUCCCUGUCUCCAGGAGUUUACUAUUAUGUGAAGGCAUUAACUCCUCUUGGGACAGAAAACUCCCUAACAGGAAAUAUGUGGACUGGUACAGUAUUAGAAGUCAAGUGACAGGGAUCAGCAGAAGCAGGAGACAUGCUGGCAGCUUCUUCGACUUGGGGCAGGUUCUAUAAUGGAUUUUGAAUCAUCUGGAUUCUAUUGUUCAUUGACUUUAUUGCCUCACUUUCUUUUGUAUUCAACAGAAUAUGUACUUGCCAUGCCUACCUUCUGUGAGUGUGAGAGAUCAAAAUGCAACUGGCUUCCACUCAGAGCUAUGUUGUUGAAACAAUACAUCACUUACGAUAUAACUGCUUGUAUCCACACUGACCAUUGUGGGUUUAUUCACAUCAUAGUACCUGAGAACUGAUACUUUUGAGAUAAUUUCUUUUACCUUUUUGAAGGCAAUUUCUUGAUUUGAUACCCACAUUCAAGAUGUGUAGGACUUUAAUAGUUCAUUCUGUGGUUUUAUCACUACAGAAAGGUCUUGUAGAUCUUGACCAAGGUAAUUUACAUUCUCAGGACAUAUCUGAGUUUUUAUACAUUAGUUGGUGCAUUCAAUUCUCGAACUUCUUUCACUUUCUCAGAGCUAGGACUCAUUCCAUCUUUGUUUAUCCUCUGUCCCAAAAAACUUGAUUUGGGGUAGGCAGAAAACACAGUUUUCCUUAUUUAGCUUCAGUCUGAACUGAUUGAUUAGGUUAGAACUUCGUUUAGGGCUCUGUUGUGUUCUUCCAUCAAAGACUCAUAUGUCAAAAUAUUGUUCAUUACAACUAGAUUUUCCAAAGAAACAUUGGAGAACUAUAAAGGAACCCAAAUGGAGAUGUAGUUUUCAUUAACAAUUAUGAAAGCUGUUAGUAUGUGAUCCUUUGAUCACACACACUCUGAAUGCAAAGCUUUUGUCUUUGUAAUUUAUUUCUGUGAUGAACUGGCCCAUGCAGUUCAGAACACCUCCAGAGCUGUGUCAGGUGACUUCAGGUGACUUCUAGGAGAGGUUGAAGAUGAUUGCAAGUCCCUUCUGAGAUGACUGUAAUACCUGCUCCUGAGUGAAUUUUAAAGUCUAUAAGCUUUCCAUGAAUAUUCAGUUUCAUUUUCCAGGCAGGCUGUGUGUCAUCACAUGUGAUAGAUCCAUAAACAAUGGCUCUUGAUUGUCUAUUAUACGAGUCAACUCCCUGACUUCUUUUAUGAAACAAACUGCAAAAUGAUCAUAUUUUGUGCAUUUAUUACACCUUGCACCUCCAGUGAAACAAACAUCUGUUGGGCUAUGAAUUUUUCCACAUCUUGUGCAAGUAGACUGAAAGGCUUUGGAGUUUGACUGGAAUUUGACCCUUUUAGGCUGGGAGUUUCUGGUUUUUCAAGUUGCUCCUGCCUUUUGUUCUGCUGUUUGACCAGUUCAGACUGCUUUGCUAUCUGUACAACUGUGGAUAGGGUUUGGUCUGUUUUUAAUGGUAGCUGCUGUUAAAGAUUUUUAUCUGUUAGCCCAAUAACCAUCCUGUCUCAGAUAUUUUAAUGUUUUGCAAAUCCAGGAUCAUUGUUGUCAGCCAAUGGAUGCAGAGCAUUUAUAAAACAUUCAACAUAGCUCCCUGGUUCUUGGAUUCUCUGUUGAAAACAUGCCCUUUCAUAAACCACAUUUCUCCGAGGUAUAAAGUGUCCAUCAAACAUAGCCAGAACUCUUUCAGAAUCAUCUUUGUGACUGUCUUUAAUAAAGUCAAAGGAUUUAAAGAAAUACUUUUCCUGCUUCCUCAUAACAUAAAUUAAAGAAGGUACUUGAAACCUCCAGUUUCCUAUGGCGCUUGUAGCAAUUCAAAAUCUUGCAAAAUACUGCUUUCAGUGUGUCCAUUAUGAAGGUUUAUCAAAGCUGAAGUUCUCUGGGGGCAUUGAACAGUGGCAUGUUGAUGAGAUCCUGCAGCCCUUAUUGCUUUUUCUUUCUGUUUGCAACUUUUGUUGCUAUUCUUUCUGUCUACAAUCUUUAUUGUUCCUUCCCCUUUUUUUUUUUUUUUGCAACCUUUGUUGCUGUUUUUCUUCUGUUUCUUGUUCUCCGCUGGCACUAAUCACCCUGCUGAAACCAUAUCACGUACUUCUUGUACAUAGUAGGUUGCAACUAACAGGUCAGGAUUCUGUAUCAGAUACAGACUGACUACAGACCAUGAGGAAGAGGAUGGUUAGUGUGGAGGUUGAUAGGAAUUGUAGUCCCCUGCUUAAUAGAUCCAUCACACUAUCAAGCUACUCCAAAAGAAGGCUGCAUUAAACUUCUUUUGAAGACUUAUCCACUAGUCUUGAAGCCUCAAACAUUUCACUUAUCCCAGAAGACCAUUCUAUGUAUUUAUUUAUUUAUUUAUUUACUAACUUUUCUGCAGGAACUCAUUGUCACUCAAUAGAAUUCACCCUACCAGGCAGUUGGAACAGGGCUAUAUGAUGUGAAAACAGAAGAUUCUUUAGUGUGUUAGGUUUUCUUUAACAUUUGCAUGAUCUAAAACAAUACCUGGCAGCUGCCUUGUGAUUUAUAAUCCCAGAUGACAACAGUCCUUUCAGUUACAGCAACAACCCGUUUGAGCUGAGUAAGAUAAUCGCAUCCAGUAACCCAGGAACUAUCCUGAUGAAAGAAAAUGGAUGGUUGAAAGCUUU